UUUUUUUUUUUUUUGAGACGGAGUCUCGCUCUGUGGCCCAGGCUGGAGUGCAGUGGCCGGAUCUCAGCUCACUGCAAGCUCCGCCUCCCGGGUUCACGCCAUUCUCCUGCCUCAGCCUCCCGAGUAGCUGGGACUACAGGUGCCCGCCACCUCGCCUGGCUAGUUUUUUUGUAUUUUUUAGUAGAGACGGGGUUUCACCGUGUUAGCCAGGAUGGUCUCGAUCUCCUGACCUCAUGAUCCACCCGUCUCAACCUCCCAAAGUGCUGGGAUUACAGGCUUGAGCCACCGCGCCCGGCCAUGAGAGUUGAUUUCUAUUGCUUGGAACCGAGAACCCUGACCAGUACAUUCAACUUGCCUGGAUCUGUUUACCCUAAUGACACACAGGGACACCGACUCUUACUUUGUGAGUUGACGUGAGAGUUAAAUGAUGUGAAGUGUUCCUAGAAGGCCCUACAACAAUGGUAAACACAUAGUAAACAUUCAGUAAGUAUGAAUGCCCUUCCUGCAUCCUUAAAACUGCUCCGAAGCCAACCAACAAGAGGAAAUGGGUUACAUCAGUUGCAUCGAUGCAGGUUUUCCCAGAGAGGUUUUGCUUGAAGGUUUGUGAGAAGUAAAACAAUGUUUACCAAUCUGCCGGCAGUACAGGCUUAAUUAGUGUUUGCAAACUGCUUGACAUUCUUGAAAGAAAGGUGCCACCCAAGCACAGGCCAUUAUCAUAAUCAACUGGUGGCACACAUGCCUGAAACGAGAAAUGCAAAACUACCAAGGAUGGGAACGGACUGCACGGAGGCCCAGGCGACACUAAUGUUUCUUUUGUAAAAAAAAAAAAAAAAAAAAGCCAUAUUGAGAUAUCAUUCACUUACCGUAUGAUACACUGUAUUAAAGGGUACAAUUCAGGGGUGUAUAGUGUGUUCACAGGUAUGUGCAACCACUGCUGUCAACUUUAGAACAUUUUCAUCACCGCAAAGAGAAACCCUAUACCUUUUAGCCGUAACCUCCCUACUUCCCAAUCUCCCCAUCCCUAAGCAACCACUAAUCUACUUUGCAUCUCAGUACAUUAGGCAUCGUUCUAGACAGUUCAUAUGGAAUAUUAAUGGAAUCAUAUAAUGUGGUCUGUUGUGAUUGGCUUCUUUCCCUUAGCUGAUGUUUUCAGGGUUCAUCCGUGUUUCAGGAUGUAUCUGAACAUCGUAUCUUUUUGUGGCCAAACAGUAUCCACCCCACACCAUGCACUGUAUGAAUACACCACACUGUGUUUAUCCAUCUACCCGUUGUUGGACAUUUGGAUGAUCUCCAACUGUUUGCUAUUUGCAUGGCUUUGCUCCUGCCGUGAACGUUCAUAUGCAAGUUUUUGUUUCCACACGUUUUUAAUUCUUUUGGGUGUACAUGUAGGUGUGGAAUUGCUGGGUCUUACGGUAUGUUUAACUUUUCAAGGAACCACCAGACUGUUUUCUGCAGCAGCAGUGCCAGGUUACAAUCCCACCAGACUAGUGUCUUUUUGAUCUCAUGAAGAUGUUGGCACUUCCUGAUAUUUCUAAAUAUUCAUGCUAGAACCCUUUAAGACAUUUUUUUUAUUAUUCAGAAAAUUGUACACAUUUUCUGCCUUCACACGUCUGCCCACUAUGUCCUUUGCUGCCAAAGCGUAUCCAGCUUCUCUCCAGCCAGACAUGCACCACACCUCUGUUGCUGUGUUGGAUUUCAAAAUUCAGCAAUCCCACCCCCUUCCACUCUAAGCCUUGCUGCAGACUUUAUGACUAACUAGCUGUGUAGCCAUCUCUAAGUCAGCCAGCGUUACACCCCGUCUCACACUCUUCUCAUAUAUUUAGUUUCAUUGCUCUGAGAGUAAAUGAAGAAAUAAUAAUCAUGUGUUUUCUCUUAUUUGGUCCUAACUAGUUCGUAUGUGUACAAACCCCUGAUUUGAAGCUUAACUUUUUAACAUGUAUGAUGGAAAAAAACAUGAUAAUUUUGUACAUUC
rnacentral:lncRNA from 1 species